rnacentral:lncRNA from 1 species
UAUAGCCUUAUUAGAAAAAAAAAAUCCCAAUCUAGCCUCCUUUUAAAAAAAAUUUCUAACCUAACUUUCUUUUGAUAAUUAGAAAAUAAAAGAUAACUUUAAUAGUAUUUAUAUGCUAACUCUCUCCUCCCACCCUACUAAUAUUUAAAAAUAAUUAAUUUUUGUUAUAAUAAUAUUUAUUAAAAACUAAUAUUUAAUAAUAAUAAAUAUUAUUAUUAUUGAAAAUUUUUUUUUGAGAAAGAUAGCAUGAUGCUAUUCUAUUCAUUUAUUUUUUUUAGAAAUAAACUUAGCUGGAAUAAUAAUAAUUCAAACUCAGAACUUCAAGUACCAACCACCAAGUGCUUUACCACUUGUACUAAAUACUAGUAAUAAUAAUAAUAAUAAUAAUAAAGAGAGAGAAAAAUUUUCUCUCUCCUAAUUAACAUAUAAAUGCUCUUAAGUCAUUUUUAUUUUCUAAUCCAUCAAAAGAAGGCUAGAUUAGGAAUUUUUUUAAAAAGAUGGCUAGAUU